ensembl:snoRNA
UGAUGACACUUUCUCCGGAAUCUCUGUACGUCCUUGAUGACCUGAGUUUGAACCCUUUUCCAGCUGAUGACUGCCCCGACUUUAUC